UCAGAUAAUCAAAGCCAUUAAGCCCUGAAGCUGCUGCGACUUUGGGUUCGGGGAUGGGAAACUCUCCUUCCUCUCCACCGUGCCGGGACCCCCGGGAAGGGGAGGGGAGGGAUCCCCCCUGGGGACAGCCAGGAGCAGCCCCCGGCCCCAGUGCCCACAUCCCCCAGGAUUUGGGGUGCUGCAGGCCAGGGGGGCUCUGGGGCGCAUCCCGCUGAUGCUGUGCGUGUCCCCCCGCAGAUGAGCUGGAGCUGGAGGUGCGGGACGGGCAGAGACGGGUGCGGACCCGCAGGAGCCCGCAGGAGCCUCCCCGAGGGCUUCUCCUGGGGCCCCUUCCAGGGCAGCAUCCACAGCGAGCCGGCAUCGCCGGGGCACGGCGACACGUGGGAGCUGGGAGCACUGGGUGGCUUUAAUAUUCCGUGGCGUGGAGCACCGUGUGUCCCCAUCGCCUGCUGGUGGAGAAGGAGAAAGGAGGGAAACGAGGAGGAGGAGAAAAGGGAGGAGGAAGAUUCCUACCCGCCCCUACCUGAUCCUACAGGGUUCUCCCCAAAAGAUCCUCGCUCGGAAAGGUGUGGAAACCCUCUGGCAGACAGCCCAGGGGUGCUGAGGGAUGG
rnacentral:lncRNA from 1 species